GAGACCUUGGACGGGAGUGUCUUCAGAUUCUCCAGAGGAACAGAAUCAAGAGGAAAUACAUAUAUGUAUAGAAAGAGAUUUGUGGAAAGGAGUUGGCUCAUUAUGGAGGCAGGCAAGUCCCUCGAUCUGCUGGGUGAGUCAGCUAGCUGGAGACCCAGGAGAGACACUGCUGUAGUUCCCGUCUGAAGGCAGAAGUCCAGUGUCCCAGUUCACAAGCUGUCAAGCAGGUGGUGCUCCCACUUACUGAAGGGAAGGUCAGUUUUUUGUUCUAUUCAGGCCUUCAACUGAUUGGAUGGGGCCCACCCACAUUGGGGAGGGUGAUCGGUUCCACUCAUCUACCCAUUCAAAUGUUAAUCUCACCCAGAAACACCUCAUAGACGCACCCAAAAUAACACUUGACCCAAUGUCUGGGCACCCCAUGGCCCGGUCAAGUUGACACACAAUAUCCUCCCUCACAGGGAGCAAAGAGAAGUGUAAGACGGGUCAUGCAAGGACGUGUUGCUGCCAGAAUGUUCCUCCACAUAUGCACAUAUGCAACCUGUCAGAGAGGUCUUUGAAAACCCGUGGGGCAGGACCACUCCCAAACGGGCUCUUAGAGAGAGAAGGGAGGACCCGUCCCUGCGCCUGAGUCAGGCGCCCAUAGAGGGAAAGAAGAGCUGAAUCUUCUGAAAAUCCAGGGGUGAGGACAUGGACCAUUAUAUGGCUUCGGGCCUUAAUCUCAGAAAUCCAGAUACCAUCCCAUCUUUGAAAGAAAUGAGGUUAUGAAUCACAGAAACUCUCGGUGCAGCCGGCUGCCAGGGCCAGCGGAGGAAGCUUCUGUGUCUGGAGACACCAGGAUUGCCCACGGAUCCGACCUCUCUUACCUUCACCACUCGGUGCUGGCCCGUCAUCUAGACAUCAUGUCUUUGCUUAACAUUCUGACAGCUCUCGAAAUGCAAAUAUCCCCGGGCUCAGCGAACAAAAUAUUUCAGCGGAAAGCUCUGCAGAGUGAGGACUUCCCAAAGAGAGGCCAUGUUGGAAGCACUCCCGCCGUGUUUUAUCCAGCUUUCUCUCCUGAAUUGCCCCAAGUUGAAGGCUUCAUCAUUCGUUUGAAACGGCCUCUUUGCCAAAAUGACUCCGGCGUCCACAGGCUGGAACCAGGAGAAGGGGCUCUGAAGAAAAAACAGCAUGAAAACGAGAGAGACGAAGAUCAGAUUACCAGCCCCUGGAUCUGUGAGGCGGACCCAAUCUGACCAGAGCAGGCUUGAUUCCAGACCAUCGCGCGGGUACUUAAACUCCCAACCUGGCCCCCUUCAUCCCGGCACACCAGUAUUU
rnacentral:lncRNA from 1 species